AAAAAAAACAAAAACAAAAAAAACCUGACACUUUACAAAGCACUUUCCUUUUACUGUCAUUGUCCCCUAAACUGUUGAAAGGCCCAGCCUCCGGGAGGUCCUGGGGUAAUAGAAUUCAGAGCGUUCUCUGAUAGUCUUGGGACACUUGACUGGCCCCUGUGGAGCAAUAAUGCCCAGGCUGAAAAAGCAAGAUGUAUAAACCUACUCAAGCUAGUUCAGAUAAAGGCAAGUUUAUUACUAAGAUACUACAAACAAAUCUUAACUAGCAUGACUGUAGUUUAGCUGUUUGCCAUAGCAAUUUGUUAUGUUCCUAAGAAACCUUAAAUUAUGGGGAGGAAAAUCACAUUCUGCAGACAGUUACUUCAGUGGAGAAGUGGGGAAGACUGCUAGGGGCUAGAGGAACUCACACCUUUUUUCCCUACAGGAAUUAAAGUUUUUGUCUUGGCCAUGAAAUCCCAACUUCAUUGAAUACCUCUCCUUUUAUUCACUCACGCCACUUCCCACUCCUCACUCUCAGAAUAUGGUGUCAGCGGCCAGCCAACCUCUGUGAUCCUAGAGCACCAUCACUCACCAAGGACUGUCUGUGGUUCUUGUGUCUUAUAUUUCAUAUUCUCAGAAGGGAAUUUAGUGGUCAUUGGUCAUCCAGUGGAUUUCUGGGUUAAGUCAGAAGUUGAUAUUUUUCUGGUCAGCUGUGGCAGGGAAAUAAGAGCCACUUGGUUCAUUCCUUUAGCAAAGGCCAUGAACUGCUUCACCUCAUAAAGAAGAGGGCUGGAGGUAAACAAGGGGGGUCUUAGGCUGUAUUGUUGUUAAAUGUCAAAACAAAUACAGUUUUAUAUUUUUGUCUAAUGAGAAACCUCAAACUGCAUAUUUGUGUGACAUCUUUAAAAUCUUCUUUCCUUAGAACGCCUGACAGACAAUCUCAGAGUUGGACAGACAUCCAUAGUUGCUGCUCAGAUGUUUCUUUUUUUCAGAGUUUUGCUGCUAAGAAUAUCUCCCCAACAUUUGACUUCAUUGUGGCCCAUAAUGGUCUCUGAGUUAAUUCAGAUAUUCAUACAGCUUGAAGAAGAUCUGAAAGAGGAUGAUGAAUUAUUAAGAAACAGCAACAAAAUCAACAGAAUGAAAGUUUCAGUUGCCGAUGGAAAUGGGCCCUCAGUGGGGGAGAUACCCCAGAGUGAACUGGUCUUAUAUUUAUCAGCUUGCAAAUUCCUGGACACAGCACUUUCUUUUCCACCUGACAAGAUGCCGUUAUUUCAAAUGUAAGUCAGAUAAGACCAUGUGUCCUCUUUGAAAUGGUGACUUUCCUUGUCAGCACUUUCACUUUGUUGUGUAGGGUGUGUGAGAAGCCCCGGUUGGGGUUUCUAGUGGCGGAUGAGAAUACCAGGUUUCAGAGUUCUU